UGCCCAAUAUUCAGAUUUCUAGGGUGCUGCAGCCGAAAUGAUCUGGGCAAAGAAAAUAAAGACCGCUCACAAUUGUGCUGAAAUAAAGUAGAAAAUUUAUCAGCGAUACAGUAUGCACAAUACAUUCUUACAGCAAGGGUUUUGUUUUCAGGUGUCCUUGUUGAGAAACGAUUUAAGAACCUGCGUGAUAUCUUCAAAAGGAAACAACACGACAUACGUGAAAAAACAAAGAAGUGGAGCCGGAGCAGCCGACUUUUUACAUUCCAACAAUAAGAUGGCCCCAUUUUGAGGCCAUGCUUGAAUUAAUGGAAGGAGAGUCUGAGCCUGUGGCCAGCCACAUCACAGCAGAAGAGGCUAACGAGAGAUCACCGCCUCGGCCAAGACAUGCAGCGGAACCGGAACGUACCCCUGAUACGGCUGAGGAGACUCGUGUCGACACCUGCAGCAAUGAGUAAAACCUUUAUGAAUCCACCUAAGUAAUGACAAAUGAAGGGCAUGCAUAGAUAGCCAAUCUAUUAAAUCUUAAAAACAUGUUUUGUAACCUUCUUCAUGUUCUAGCACAUUUGGAGAAUGUGCCUAAUGUUUUCACACCAGAUUCUGCUACAUGCAAUUGCGACACUUUAUAAGUUGUAUAAUAAUACUGCCUCCUUCUGCGGUGAUGCUUCAGCAACCACCUCAAGAGAGCAGCCACCAUCAAAACGGUCACGCUCGUCAA
rnacentral:lncRNA from 1 species